UGCCUUUCGCGAAUCUUUUUGCGGUCUGGGCUUGCUGUACAUUACUCAUAGCCGGAAGCCCUUACCCCAAAAAGCAUUCGCGGAGGGCG
ensembl:miRNA MIR129-2 microRNA 129-2